GACGAACGCUGGCGGCGUGCCCAACACAUGCAAGUCGAACGGGACCGGGGGCAACUCCGGUUCAGUGGCGGACGGGUGCGUAACACGUGAGGAACAUGACGUUCGGCGGGGGAUAGCCGGCCCAACGGCCGGGUAAUACCGCGUACGACCCAAUGGAGACAUCUCCACUGGGUGAAAGCAGCAAUGCACCGAACGAGUGCCUCGCGGCCUAUCAGCUAGGUGGGGGGGUAACGGCUCACCAAGGCGACGACGGGUAGCUGGUCUGAGAGGAUGGCCCGCCACAUUGGGACUGAGACACGGCCCAGACUCCUACGGGAGGCAGCAGUGGGGAAUAUUGCGCAAUGGGCGAAAGCCUGACGCAGCGACGCCGCGUGUGGGAUGACGGCCUUCGGGUUGUAAACCACUGUCGGGAGGGACGAAUGCGCCGCAAGGCGAGUGACGGUACCUCCAAAGGAAGCACCGGCUAACUCCGUGCCAGCAGCCGCGGUAAUAC
rnacentral:rRNA from 1 species